AUACCUCUGCAAUUUGAAAGAAAUAUACCCCCCCAACCAAAAGAAAUGAGCUUCACGAGUCUGAUUAUUUGUGUUGCUGUUGUCCCUCCGGCUUCAGUACUUUUUUUUUUUUUCCGUCUUCUCCUCCCACCCAAAU
rnacentral:ribozyme from 1 species